rnacentral:rRNA from 1 species
CACGCAGGUGGCCUUGUAAGUCAAAGGUGAAAGCCCUCGGCUCAACCGAGGAAUGGCCUUUGAAACUGCUUGGCUUGAGUCCGGGAGGGGAGAGCGGAAUUCCUAGUGUAGCGGUGAAAUGCGUAGAUACUAGGAGGAACACCGGUGGCGAAGGCGGCUCUCUGGACCGGUACUGACACUGAGGUGCGAAAGCGUGGGGAGCAAACG